rnacentral:rRNA from 1 species
CUUGGCGACAAUAGCAAGGUGGAACCACCCGAUCCCAUCCCGAACUCGGAAGUGAAACGCCUUAGCGCCGAUGGUAGUGUGGGGCUUCCCCAUGUGAGAGUAGGUCAUUGCCAAGC